rnacentral:rRNA from 1 species
GCUAAAUACUCGUGAUCGACCGAUAGUGAACCAGUACCGUGAGGGAAAGGCGAAAAGAACCCCGGGAGGGGAGUGAAAUAGAACCUGAAACCGCAUGCAUACAAACAGUAGGAGCCUCGUCAGAGGUGACUGCGUACCUUUUGCAUAAUGGGUCAGCGACUUACAUUCUGUGGCGAGCUUAACCGAAUAGGGGAGGCGCAGCGAAAGCGAGUUCGAAAUGAGCGUCCAGUCGCAGGGUGUAGACCCGAAACCAGAUGAGCUAUCCAUGGCCAGGUUGAAGGUGUGGUAACACACACUGGAGGACCGAACCGACUAGUGUUGCAAAAUUAGCGGAUGAGCUGUGGAUAGGGGUGAAAGGCCAAACAAAUCUGGAGAUAGCUGGUUCUCCCCGAAAACUAUUGAGGUAGUGCCUCGUGUGUCGCUCCAGGGGGUAGAGCACUGUUUUGGCUAGGGGGACAUGGAGUCUUACCAAACCAAGGCAAACUCCGAAUACCUGGAAGCGUGAGCACGGGAGACAGAGCACCGGGUGCUAACGUCCGGACUCAAAAGGGAAACAACCCAGACCGCCGGCUAAGGUCCCAAAUAACAGCUAAGUGGAAAACGAAGUGGAAAGGCCGUGACAACCAGGAAGUUGGCUUAGAAGCAGCCAUCCUUCAAAGAAAGCGUAAUAGCUCACUGGUCGAGUCCUUCUGCGCGGAAGAUGUAACGGGGCUAAGCUGUUAACCGAAGCCGCGGAUGCACUGGUUAUCCAGUGCGUGGUAGGGGAGCGUUCUGUAAGUCUGCGAAGGCGGUUCGAGAGGACUGCUGGAGAUAUCAGAAGUGCGAAUGCUGACAUGAGUAACGUUAAAGCAGGUGAAAAGCCUGCUCGCCGUAAGCCCAAGGAUUCCUGCUCUACGUUCAUCGGAGCAGGGUGAGUCGGCUCCUAAGGUCAGGCCGAAAGGCGUAGCCGAUGGGAAUCAGGUUAAUAUUCCUGAACCUGCGUCAGAUGCGAUGGGGGGACGGAGCAUGAAAGAUCAUCCGGGUGUUGGAUGUCCCGGUUGACGAGCGUAGGAGGUCUGCAGGCAAAUCCGCAGACGCAUCUCCAAGGCGAAGUCACGUGCCGCCACGGCGGCGAAGUGAUCGGAAGUGCUUCCAAGAAAAGCCUCUAAGCACCAGUCUGACGCGGACCGUACCGCAAACCGACACUGGUGGGCGAGCUGAAUAUGCUCAGGCGCUUGAGAGAACUCGGGAGAAGGAACUCGGCAAAUUGACACCGUAACUUCGGAAGAAGGUGUGCCGUAGUACCGUGAGAGGAGAGACACCUUGAGCGGGAAACGGUCUCAGAGAAUAGGUGGCUGCGACUGUUUAUUAAAAACACAGCACUCUGCAAAGUCGAAAGACGACGUAUAGGGUGUGAUGCCUGCCCGGUGCUGGAAGAUUAAUUGAUGGGGUGAGAGCCCUUGAUCGAAGUCCCAGUAAACGGCGGCCGUAACUAUAACGGUCCUAAGGUAGCGAAAUUCCUUGUC